rnacentral:rRNA from 1 species
GACGAACGCUGGCGGCGUGCUUAACACAUGCAAGUCGAACGGAAAGGCCCUGCUUUUGUGGGGUGCUCGAGUGGCGAACGGGUGAGUAACACGUGAGUAACCUGCCCUUGACUUUGGGAUAACUUCAGGAAACUGGGGCUAAUACCGGAUAGGAGCUCCUGCUGCAUGGUGGGGGUUGGAAAGUUUCGGCGGUUGGGGAUGGACUCGCGGCUUAUCAGCUUGUUGGUGGGGUAGUGGCUUACCAAGGCUUUGACGGGUAGCCGGCCUGAGAGGGUGACCGGCCACAUGGGGACUGAGAUACGGCCCAGACUCCUACGGGAGGCAGCAGUGGGGAAUAUUGCACAAGGGGCGGAAGCCUGAUGCAGCAACGCCGCGUGCGGGAUGACGGCCUUCGGGUUGUAAACCGCUUUCGCCUGUGACGAAGCGUGAGUGACGGUAAUGGGUAAAGAAGCACCGGCUAACUACGU